rnacentral:rRNA from 1 species
UACGUAGGUGGCAAGCGUUGUCCGGAAUUAUUGGGCGUAAAGCGCGCGUCAGGUGGUUUCUUAAGUCUGAUGUGAAAGCCCACGGCUCAACCGGUGGAGGGUCAUUGGAAACUGGGGAACUUGAGUGCAGGAGAGAAGAGUGGAAUUCCACGGUGUAGCGGUGAAAUGCGUAGAGAUGAUGGAGGAACACCAGUGGCGAAGGCGGUUCUCGUGGGCCUUACCUGACGCUGAGGAGCGAAAGCGUGGGGAGCGAACAGG